rnacentral:lncRNA from 1 species
UGAAGCGUCCUUCUGGUAGGCCUCAUGGGAAGGUGAAGGUAGAGGUUUGCGUCCGUGAUCCGCGCUAUCGUGCGCCGGAUCCGUAUUAUGCGGCUCCUUAUGGUGUUCCUCCCCCUGGAUCAAAGGAUUACCCGGCUCCGCCACAACCUUACGGCGGAUCAGGAUCGAGGGAUUACCCUGCUCCGCCUGCAGGAUCGAGGGAUUACCCUGCUCCGCCGCAACCUUACGGUGGCGGAUCAGGAUCAUAUGGUGCUCCGGCUUCCCCUUAUCCUUCUCCUGCUCCUGCCGCUGCUCCUUACGCCGCUCCGCCGUCUGGUUACCCGUACAGCUCGGCUCCGGCUUACGGUCAAUCACCAAAUUACGGUUCCACUCCUGCUCCGGGUUAUGGUCAACAACCAGGUUACGGUGCACCUCCUGCGCCGUACGGGCAGCAGGGUAGUUACGGACAG